AGCAAAUGAGCUAAUGUUAAAAGACCUAACUAACCUUGAGCCUUGGUUAAAACUACCAUGCGGCCAGUAGAAUGUCUGAACUCUAGAAGUAACAACCGAGUGGAUGAACUUUGGAACCAUCAACCACCGACUGAAGAAGAAGUCUGAGUGAUCAGCCACUUUGAUAUCAUCAACCGAGAGGAAACAAAAGAAAGAAAACAGAGCAACCGAAACUUUUCUUCUUCAUUCCAAAAUUUGUGAGAAAGAGUGAGAGUGAGGGAGCAUCUCUGGUUCCUUCCAGCCACAACGGAGUGAGUAAGAGUGUAAGGUAGAGAAAAAGGAGAACUUAGAGCCUUUCAUCUUAAAGAAUCGAAGGAGGAAGGAGUCUGCCUGCAUUUUUCUUCUUUUCGGCUUUGGUUGUAUUAAAAGAGAGGUAAAAUGCUGUAACACUCUCUUAUUUAUCUGGUAUAAUUGAAUGCUUAAGCUGCAUGUUAAAAUUUAGCAAGGAAAAUGAGUUCUUGACCGAGGAAAAUUCUGUUUAGUGACUGACUAAGUGCUAGAGAAGAAAACUGAAAUGACCGAGAGGAUGAAACUGGAAUUGCAGCUUGUUAACCGAGUUUUCUGUGGAGAAUAAUGUUAGGAAAUGCAUGUAAAAUGUUUACCUUAAGUAUUACAAGUAGAUUAGCUGAAGAGUCUUGUAAAAAAGCUGGAAAUGUUCGUUUGAAGCUGCUAUGUGAUACUUGAUGAGCUAAUCUGCAAUUUUCCAGUUGUGUCUUCUGUUGCAUGUCUUACAUACAUUUUCUGGCCACAUAUCUUGACAUGCACCCUAUUUACACUGUCGAAUAAGGCCUGUUAAGAUGAGAUCAUGCCGAACUUUUAAAGCCACACCAAAACUAGAAUCCCAAGACAGCAAAUUUGGAGGAAGAAACGCUGCUGCAACUUUGGUCUUGUUAUUUGCAAACUUUGGUAGAUUGUAACUGGAACUCAUGUUUCAGGCCCUGUAUAACAUCUAUAGGCUGAUGCAUGUGAUACUUGAGAGGUUAAAAGCAAGAAAAGAUAGACCUGUGAGCAAUAUCAAGGCUGGAAAUGUUAACUGCUGGCUACGGUUCCGUGGGAAAUUAGUGACAGCAACCGAAAGAGAAAGGAAGGGAACCGUGGCUGUCCUCUAUAAACCUUAGCUCCUAAACCUGUGUAGUAAGUGUAACCUGUCAUCCAGACCUUAAACCUCAACAAAGACGAGCGAAACCAGUAGAAACUCAACUACAUACUAAAGUAGAAAUGAGUGCAGGUUGGUUGGCAGAGGGAGUGAAGCAGAAGGUGCUUCUGACCGUACAUUUUUGACCUUGAAAAUGCAAGAACUGGGUGUCAAUGUCUUCAUAAUAAAUGUAGGUCUAUGUCUUAGCUUCGAAAAGCUAUAAAAUUUGCCUCAAUCCGAUAAGCGCAGCUCCAGUUAUAAUCAGAAUACCAGAGGAUGGCAAAGCUGCCUUUCUCGUUGCCUUUCCUUUUGUUCCCGAAUGCACUUUGCUAAGAUGCUAGCCGUGAGGAACCAACUUUUAACCAGCAUUUCUACUAAUUUCCAACCUUGUAAGCUUUCAUAAAUGGUAGCUACGGUUGUUUUGAGAUUUAAUGGCUAUAUAUAGUUCCACGAGUAGAGUUAAAUUAAAGCAAAUGAGAGGAAAACUCAUGAUAGUUACGUACCUAAAUUGGCUUCUAAUCACUUAAUAUUGUCCUUACAAAUAUUUCAAAGACUAUAAAAUUUGAGGGAUUGGUGUAGUGGAAGAAAAUUUAAUUUACAAACCGCUUAGAAUCUAGCUAGUUAAAAGGGAAAUCAAUGGAUGUCUAUAAGCCAUAAUUAAUGAAUAUUGAAUUGAGAAAGAUAUAUUCAUGAUUUAAAUAUUAUAUAAAGAUACAAACUUGGGAAAAAUGUAUAAUUCUUGGUCUGAAAUAAUAAAGUUAAUAAAUUUUAAAAUAAAAUGUAAAAUAAAUAUAAAAUAUGUUAUAUCUUGUGUUGUAAGCCAAGCUUGACUUUAGUAGUUUAAAUCAUAAAGUAACAAAUGAUGAGUGAUAAUAUAUAAAUUGUAUAUUCAUUUUAGAAUUAUAAACUUGGAAAAUACGUAUAUUUCUUGGUUUAAAAAUGAUAAAGUCAAUAAGUCUUGAAAUGAAAUGUGGAAUAAAUAUUGAAUACAUUAUACUUCAUAUUUUAAAGUCAAAAUUGAUUCUAAUAAUUUAAAUAAUAGGAUAAUAAAUAAUCAAUGAACAUCUACAAAUAAAACAUGAUUCAAACGGCUUUAUAAGCAUUGUGUGUUCACCGUUAAGGUAAUAAACUAGUUUUACUUAUGAUCUUAAGUAAAAGAGAUUUAUAGGACAAUAAAGUACCUUAAAGGUAGUUAUUUCUAAAAUUUACCUUAUUAAAAGUUAAUGUUGAGAUUGAGUACGAUAAAUCUAAAAGUAUAAAAAUAGUGAAGUCACAAUACUGGAAUUGCUACUUAAACUUCCUUUAUUUUGGAAAUUAAAAGUUGAAGUCACGAAUGAAUGUGAGAAAAUGCACUAGUCGCCUCAUUUAAACAUAGCAAUGACUUAGAUUUUGGGUGGAAUGGUGACUUAAGGCUAGAAUACAACACGUAUGUUGAUUAAACUUUAGAACUUCACCAAAUGAGUGGUUAAAUAAUUAUGGCAAUUAUAACUUGUCUCAGGAGACAGCGGUAUGCAAGAAAGCAAUUUCGAGAUCGAAGUGUAACUUUUGAUUAGGGUGAGUGUUUUUCGAAUUUAUGUGUUUAACUGUUUAUGUGUAUCUAAGUGAAAUUAUGUGACAAAUGUGUUUAUCAUGAAUUAUUACAAAAUGAUUCCUUGUGAAGUGUAUCUCAAUUGUUCAUCGCCUUCUAAGUCGAGGAUGUACUUUAUCGCACUCGACUUAGUUGAGUUUGAAGGUCGAUAAUUGACUGAAUGUUACUGUAAGUGCGCAUGAAUGUAAGGCGUAUGUGUACCUCGCCGCAUUGGCUGAACUGGGCCCCAAAACCCUCUGUUCAACGGACUAUCCGAGCCAGCAAAGGGCUUGGUCGGGUAGGACGGUAGCUUUGGAUAAAUGUUUCGGUAUACUCGAGUAUUACCAUGAGGUUGGGAGAUUAUUGAACUGAUUAUUGAAUGUAAGGGAUUGUUUAUUGUUUUGAAGGACAUAAGGAGGUGAAUUGGCGGAGUGAAUGCAAUGAUAUUGAAAUGAAUGUAUAAUGACAGUGAAAUGAGUGUCUCUUGACACUGAAAUGAAUGCUCAAUGACAUUGAAGUGGCUCUAAUGCGAGCACCGUAUCCUUUUAAAAGUGAUUGUUUAGUGAAGUGUUUCCUCAAUUGCUUAAUGAAAGUGAUUGUACAGUGAAAUGUGCACUACUUGCUUAAUUGUACUGAUUUAAGUGUUUAUUAAAGGUUGCUUGCUCGGCAAACCUCACUGAGCUUUAGCUCAGGCCUUUAGUUUUGUUUUCCUUACAGGAGUUGGUGGUCGGGGAACGAACGAGCGAUCUUAGGGAGUUAACGUGAAGAUUUUUAUGAUUGUAAAUCUUUUCGUUUCAUAUUAUGGUUGAAACUUUUGUAUUGAGCUUGGUAUUGUAAAAGAUUUGAGCGUUUGGUUUUGGUUUAUCAAAAUGUUAUCUCUGAAGUUAAUGUAAGUGAGUGAGCCCUGGCGAGAGUCAGGCAGGCGAUCCACUAACUUUUAG
rnacentral:lncRNA from 1 species